AGUUUGAUCCUGGCUCAGGACGAACGCUGGCGGCAUGCCUAACACAUGCAAGUCGAACGAGAAAGUUCCUUCGGGAGCAAUUAAAGUGGCGCACGGGUGAGUAACGCGUAGACAAUCUGCCCUUCAGUCUGGGACAACUUUUCGAAAGGAGAGCUAAUACCGGAUAACAAUGCAUGACACAAGUUGUAUAUUUGAAAGCUUUAUGUGCUGAAGGAGGGGUCUGCGUCCCAUUAGCUAGUUGGUAGGGUAAAGGCUUACCAAGGCAACGAUGGGUAGCGGGUUUGAGAGGACGAUCCGCCACACUGGAACUGAGACACGGUCCAGACUCCUACGGGAGGCAGCAGUGGGGAAUAUUGCACAAUGGAGGAAACUCUGAUGCAGCAAUGUCGCGUGAGUGAAGAAGGCCCUUGGGUCGUAAAGCUCUUUUAUGGGGGAAGAUGAUGACGGUACCCCAGGAAUAAGCACCGGCUAACUAUGUGCCAGCAGCCGCGGUAAUACAUAGGGUGCGAGCGUUGUUCGGAAUUACUGGGCGUAAAGGGCGCGCAGGCGGAAUAGUAAGUCGGAGGUGAAAGCCCGGGGCUCAACCCCGGAUGGUCUUUCGAAACUGCUAAUCUAGAGAGGGUCAAGGGCCGGCAGAAUUCCUGGUGUAGAGGUGAAAUUCGUAGAUAUCAGGAGGAAUACCGGUGGCGAAGGUGGCCGGCUGGGGCCACUCUGACGCUGAGGCGCGAAAGCGUGGGGAGCAAACGGGAUUAGAUACCCCGGUAGUCCACGCCGUAAACGAUGAGCACUGGACGUCCGGAGGGUUCGACCCUUCUGGGUGUUUCAGCUAACGCAUUAAGUGCUCCGCCUGGGGCGUACGGUCGCAAGGCUAAAACUCAAAGGAAUUGACGGGGACCCGCACAAGCGGUGGAACAUGUGGUUUAAUUCGAUGCAACGCGAAGAACCUUACCUGGGCUUGACAUGUUCAUGAAAGCUUUGUGAAAGCAGAGCCCUCUGCGAGCUUGCUCAAAGACAUGAUCACAGGUGGUGCAUGGCUGUCGUCAGCUCGUGUCGUGAGAUGUUUGGUUAAGUCCAGCAACGAGCGCAACCCCUUUCCUUAGUUGCCAGCACAUUAUGGUGGGGACUCUAAGGAUACUGCCUGGGAUAACCAGGAGAAAGGUGGGGAUGAUGUCAAGUCAGUAUGUCCCUUAUGUCCAGGGCUACACACGUGUUACAAUGGCUAGUACAAAGGGUUGCCAACCCGCGAGGGGGAGCCAAUCCCAAAAAACUAGCCCCAGUUCAGAUUGGAGUCUGCAACUCGACUCCAUGAAGGAGGAAUCGCUAGUAAUCGUGGAUCAGCACGCCACGGUGAAUACGUUCCCGGGUCUUGUACACACCGCCCGUCACGCCAUGGAAGUCAGCAGUACCCAAAGCAGGUCGCCUAACCUUCGGGAGGGAGCCUUUUAAGGUAAGGCUGGUAACUGGGGCGAAGUCGUAACAAGGUAGCC
rnacentral:rRNA from 1 species